rnacentral:lncRNA from 1 species
UGUUAGCUAAUUAUAAAAUUUUGAAAGUUUGGCUAGUUAAUGUAAAAUUUUGAAAGUUUAGGUGGUUUAUCUAGAAAUAGUCAAAAGUUUGAGUAGUUUUAGUAUAUUUAACCUAGAAAAAAAAUAAAGGUCUAUAAAAUUAUAUAGAAUUUAUAUGAACUACAGACUAUUUUGAGUUGGAUCACCAAUUUUUUUAAAUUUUGAUUUUACUAUCCAACCUUUCAAUUUAUUUAAUUUGAGUCAGUAAAUAACACAAUGUCUUCAAAAUUUAAAUAUAUCCACUACAACAAAAACGGUCUAUAGCGAUACUUUUAAAUGUAGGUACAUGUCAAAAAAGUGCUGCUAGCUAAAAUUACCGACACUUUUAAAAAGUGUUGCUAUAUGUGGGGUUGCUAGGUAUAUAGUGACAGUUAAAGAGUGUCGCUAUAACCUAAAAGAGUGCUGCUAAUUUACCAGAACUUAUUUAAGCAUUUAGCAACCGUCGAAAUUCUAUCUCGUUGGCUGUGGUGGCGGAGGAGGACGACAGGAAAGGCUCUUCGUCUAAAAUUUCAGUUGACUGAGUGAAGAGAGAAGAAAGAUGGUAAUUAAUUUUUCUUUUUUUUUUCUUUUCUGUUUAUAAUCGGGCAAAAUGGACUAGGUGUGGUGGGUUGAGUAGAGUAAUCUUUUAUUUUUGGUUGGAUUGGACUUUAUAUUUAGGCAUUAGUAGAUGUUUUUUUAAAUUUUAGCAUAAAUGGGACACUUACUCAAAAGUGUCCCAAACAUGUGUCCCUAUAACCUAAUUCUGUUGUAGUGAUCGUUUAUCUUUACAAGUUAAUUAGUGUACGUCAUACAAUUAUCACAAUUAUAAAUUUAUUAAAGUAAUUAAUUAACUUAAAUUCUCAAAUCAAUGUACUGUUAACUAAUUCAAAUUAAACAAAUUGAAAGGUUGGAAAGUAAAAUCAAAAUUUUGAAAGUUUGAGUAGUUAAUUCAAAAUAGUCCAUAGCUCAGAUAUUCUGCACAUUUUUACCAAAAAUAUAAGGAAAAACUUUCAGAUACCACCCAUGUGGUUUCACUCUUCUUACUUUAGUAUCACGUGGUUUAAAAUGCAUUAUUUUAGUAUCAUGUGGUUUCGUUUUUCUCUUUCUGUUAUCCCCUCUGUUAAUUUUUUAGUUAAGUCAAUGGCAAAAUUAAAACCACAGAGUACUUAAAGUAAAAAUUCGGUAAAUCAUAGAAUACAAAAAUGAAUAUUAGAUAAACCAUAGGUAGGGUAUUUGAAGUUUUUGGUAUAUAAUUUAAUAGAGAGUUAAUAGAGGUGCUGACAGAAAGAAAGAAAUAAAAUCACAUGGUACAAAAAUAACCACAAAGAAGUAAAUGAGAAAGUGUGAAACUAUAGAGUUGGUAUUUAAAGUUUACCAAUAUAUAUAUAUAUAUAUAGAGAGAGAGAGAGAGAGAGAGAGAGAGAGAGAGAGAGAGUGGCUGGGAUACUAUUGAUAGCAUCAAGGGCUCGGUGCUAUCGAGUUUUCCACCAUUAGAUUUAAUCCUUCGAUUACUUUUACCCGUUAGAUUAUGUUAUUCAACCAACCACUCACUCAACCCUAGAGGACCCAUAUCAUCCUAACCGCACAUUUUUCAAUCCAAAGACUAAAAAACUAAUAGCAUCAAUAGUUUUGUGCAAUUGAUAGUAUCCCAGUCUAGUUAUAUAUAUAUAUAUAUAACUUAGGCAAA